rnacentral:rRNA from 1 species
UACGUAGGGCGCAAGCGGUUAUCCGGAAUUGAUUGGCGUAAAGAGCUCGUAGGCGGUUGUCGCGUCUGCCGUGAAAGUCCGGGGCUCAACUCCGGAUCUGCGGUGGGUACGGGCAGACUAGAGUGAUGUAGGGGAGACUGGAAUUCCUGGGUGUAGCGGCGAAAUGCGCAGAUAUCAGGAGGAACACCGAUGGCGAAGGCAGGUCGUCGUGGGCAUUGAACUGACGCUGAGGAGCGAAAGCAUGGGGAGCGAACAGG